UGGCCUAAAUGGCCUAGGCCUAGGGCCGCCCCAGCAUCAGACUACGAAACUCAAAUGGUUUUCUAAGUCUUUUGAUAGAGGAUGGCAAUGGCCGAUGGUAUGUUGACUAUUAUGGGGUUGCCGUCAAGCUAAUUAAGUGGCGAGGAUUCUACACAUAUAUGCUGGAAGCUUCAAUGGACUGUAGAGUGAGCUUUGAUACCAAAAAAACUUGCAUAACAAAGAGUGAGGCAAGUCAAAGUGAUCUAGCUAAGAGCCAUUGGAGUUCACAGUCAAGAAGCAAGAGAUACAUCAAAUGUGGAACUAUAAUGUUAUUAUGGCCUUGUAAUCAAACUUUAUAUUUUAGUAAGACUCUUGUUAUUAUGGCGGUAUGGCCUUGUGAUCAAAGUGUAUAUUUUAAUAAAAUUCUGUUCAUCUUUUGUCUA